GCUGCUUCAGCAGCGGCGAUGGCUGCCCCAGCAUCUUCAAGAGGGUACCACCGAGGAGUGUUGUCAAGCUGAGAGACACUCGAUAACUCAAUCAAGACCUAUAAAUAAAUCAAAGCACAAUACA